CCAAAUAAAUGUGGAGCAUGGCACUGGAGAAGCCCAGGCCACUGGCUGCACAGAUGUGGGAGAUCACUGUGUAGCUCCCCUAUCCCAGGGGAUAGACUCAGUGGUGAGGCUGCAUGCAACCCUGACACAGCACAAUGACUGGGCCUGCCCCUCUGCACUAGGUGCCUGUCUGCCAAGCAGGAGCCAAGUUUGGAGGGUCUUA